CUACGGGGUGCACCAGUGGGGAAUAUUGGACAAUGGGGGAAACCCUGAUCCAGCAAUGCCGCGUGUGUGAAGAAGGCCUGCGGGUUGUAAAGCACUUUCGGUUGGGAGGACUGCUUCUAGCACUAAUAUUGUUGGAAGUUGACGUUACCUUCAGAAGAAGCACCGGCUAACUCCGUGCCAGCAGCCGCGGUAAUACGGAGGGUGCAGGCGUUAAUCGGAAUUACUGGGCGUAAAGCGCGCGUAGGCGGCUAGAUCAGUCGGGUGUGAAAGCCCCGGGCUUAACCUGGGAACUGCAUCCGAUACUGUCUAGCUUGAGUACAGGAGAGGAGAGUGGAAUUCCACAUGUAGCGGUGAAAUGCGUAGAUAUGAGGAGGAACACCAAUGGCGAAGGCAGCUCUCUGGCCUGAUACUGACGCUGAGGUGCGAAAGCGUGGGGAGCAAACAGGAUUAGAUACCCGUGUAGUC
rnacentral:rRNA from 1 species